UACGUAGGGUGCGAGCGUUAAUCGGAAUUACUGGGCGUAAAGGGCGCGUAGGCGGCCUGUUAAGUCGAACGUGAAAUCCCCGGGCUCAACCCGGGAACUGCGUCCGAUACUGGCAGGCUUGAAUCCGGGAGAGGGAUGCGGAAUUCCAGGUGUAGCGGUGAAAUGCGUUGAUAUCCAGCGGAACUCCGGUGGCGAAGGCGAGGUGCUGGACCCUUUCUGACGCUGAGGCGCGAAAGCCAGGGGAGCAAACGGG
rnacentral:rRNA from 1 species